rnacentral:rRNA from 1 species
UACGAGGGGGGCGAGCGUUGUUCGGAAUUAUUGGGCGUAAAGAGCUCGUAGGCGGUUUGUCGCGUCUGCUGUGAAAACUCGGGGCUUAACCCCGGGCCUGCAGUGGGUACGGGCAGACUAGAGUGCGGUAGGGGAGACUGGAAUUCCUGGUGUAGCGGUGGAAUGCGCAGAUAUCAGGAGGAACACCGGUGGCGAAGGCGGGUCUCUGGGCAGUAACUGACGCUGAGGAGCGAAAGCGUGGGGAGCGAACAGG